AAAGAAAUGUGGGUUGGCUCAAGACUUUUGUGCAGUACUGUAUGUUCACACACUGGCUCUACGUAAGUGCCGAGUGGGGAGUCCACACAAGAUAAUUACUUAAAUAAAAAUAGAAUUUAAUAAAAAGAAAACCACAGACACCAAAGAGGGAUGGUGUCAGGUGGAUGGAGGAGAAAGAGAGAGCAAAUGAAGACAUGGAGCAGCUUUUAUAGAGGAAGGCCCAGGUCAGCUCGAGCAGCCCUGUACAGAGCUCUGUCACCUGACCUGAAGGCGGCAUCGCGGGCUUUGAGGAGUGAGCGGACUGCGGACUAUACCGCAGACAUUAAUGUUGUUAAAAAAUGAGAACCGUCAAAACAUCCUUUGUUUCUAAUUCUAAGAUAAGAACAAUUGAUUUGUCUGUCACUAAAUUGAAUUUCUUUGGCCUUUGGACUGUUGGUUGAAAACAAAAAAGCUAUUUGAGAUUCACGUUUUGUUCAGUAUCAUUUUGAAGACUAAAUUGUUAGCUUAACAGGGUAAAUGUAAUGCUUAUAA